UACGUAGGGUGCGAGCGUUAAUCGGAAUUACUGGGCGUAAAGCGUGCGCAGGCGGUUCGUGAUGUCUGGUGUGAAAGCCCCGGGCUUAACCUGGGAAUUGCAUUGGAAACUAGCGGGCUGGAGUGUGGCAGAGGGGGGUGGAAUUCCACGUGUAGCAGUGAAAUGCGUAGAGAUGUGGAGGAACACCGAUGGCGAAGGCAGCCCCCUGGGCUAACACUGACGCUCGAUGCACGAAAGCGUGGGGAGCAAACAGG
rnacentral:rRNA from 1 species